rnacentral:lncRNA from 1 species
GUAAUUACAUAAUUUAAAUUUUUAGGUAAACAAAUUUAAAGACUUCCAGAAAUCUGAAUCAGAAGAUAGCGAACAAUACAAAUCAAAAAAUCGAAGUUCAACUGAUGUGUGUUUUUUAAUAGUAUUUGUAGUAUUCUUAACAGCUCUGAUAUGUUUUUUGGCUUACUGUUUUUUUAAUGGAGAUAUAUUCAGAACUAUAAAUGGUUACGAUGAUUGUGGAAACAUAUGUGGAAGAAACAAUAAAAAUCUAAAACGUUUAGACAACAAAAAUAACUCUUUACAAUGUCUAGGGACCAGUAAAAUUAACGAACCAUACCAUAUAGUAUUACGAAAAGGUUCAGCAAAGGAAUUUAAUAGACUAUGCAUAUCAGAUUGCAGUUUGUACGAAGGAUACAGGAAGUUUUUCAAUCGAUGUAUGCCAAAUAAAAGUCAGACGGUGGUGAACACAAUUUUUUCCAGGACUGGACUGAGUAACUUUUUUACAG